rnacentral:lncRNA from 1 species
GUACAAAAAUAGUUGGACCAAUAGCCUAUGUGGCUAGUACCUGGUCCAAUACAGAAAUAGCAUAUAGGUCAACCACGUACAUAUUUUCUCAGUGAAUAAUAACAUCGCAUACAUGCACAAGUAUGUAAUGUAAAGGAGAUGUUAUUGCUCUUGUCUAGACAAGAAGAAGCGUUUACAUGCAAUAUGAAAGUUUCUGGUUACCUUUACUUCCACAGGCACAGUGUUCCAUAUUAUAGCGCCAAAAAACUCCAAUAAUCGUUCACCGUAGACAUUGCUGCAAUAAGGAAGGUUUAGGUUAAAGUUAGUUGCUUGUCUGGUGUUUGCACGUGGGAAGUUAAAUAUGGUGUUGGGUAAGGGGAAGUUGGUGUUUAGUAUUUUAUGAACUAAACAAGUGAUUUUAUAAUUUCUUAAAGCCGCAAAAGAAAGGAUACGAAUGUCAAUAAACAGAAUGCUACUAGGGUGAUGAACAGAAGAAAAUGUUAUUAUUCUUAGGGCGCGCUUUUGCAACUGCAGUAUAGGUGUUAAGUAAGUGUUAUAUGUUAGGCCCCAUAUUUCACAACAAUAACCCAGGUGGGUAUGAAAUAAAGAAAAAUAUAUGCAACGAAGCAAAGCACGAGGAAAAUAUUGCCGGGCACGGGCCAGGGUGUAAUAGCUGAAAGCGAGUUUCCUACAGACAAGGUUAAUUUCUUCUCUCCAAUGCAAGCGGUAAGAGGAAGC